UAAAAUAAUUAAGGGCACACAAAGGAUGCCUAGGUAGUAAGAGCCGAUGAAGGACGUGGUAAGCUGCGAUAAGCCUAGAUAAGUUGCAAUCGAACGUAAGAGUCUAGGAUUUCCGAAUGGAGCAAUCUAUUAAGAUGGAGUCUUAAUACGAAAGAGGGAACCGCGUGAACUGAAACAUCUAAGUAACGCGAGGAAAAGAAAGUAAAAACGAUACCCAAAGUAGCGGCGAGCGAACUGGGUCAAGCCUAAACCUUAAAUAUGUCAAGGAUACAGCCGUUGUAUUUAAGGGGUUGAGGGACAGAGUUGUGAAGAACUGUAAGAUAUUCAAUAUAGUGUAUUGAUGAAUUAGAAUUGUCUGGAAAGGUGAACCGCAGAAGGUGAAAGUCCUGUAUAAGUAAAUCCUUACACAUAUAACUUUGCUCCCAAGUAACAUGGAACACGAGGAAUUCUGUGUGAAUCAGUGAGGACCAUAUCUCAUAAGGCUAAAUACUCUUACUAACCGAUAGCGCAUAGUACCGUGAGGGAAAGGUGAAAAGAACCCCUGGAGGGGAGUGAAAUAGAACCUGAAAUUGUGUGCUUACAAGCGGUCAGAGCCCAUUAGGGUGAUGGCGUGCCUUUUGGAGAAUGAUCCUGCGAGUUACGUUAAACGGCGAGGUUAAGUAUAACGGAGCCGAAGGGAAACCAAGUCUUAAUAGGGCGAUUUAGUCGUUUGGCGUAGACGCGAAACCUGGUGAUCUAAACCUGUCCAGGAUGAAGCUGUGGUAAGACACAGUGGAGGUCCUAACCCACCGCCGUUGAAAAGUUGGGGGAUGAGGUAGGUUUAGGGGUGAAAAGCCAAUCGAACCAGGAGAUAGCUCGUUCUCUCCGAAAUGCAUCUAGGUGCAGCCUUGAGUGUUCAAUUAUGGGGGUAGAGCACUGAAUGAUCUAGGGGGCAUAUUGCUUACUGAAAUCAAUCAAACUCCGAAUACCAUAAUUUAUAGCUCAGGAGUGAGACUAUGGGAGUUAACUUCCAUUGUCAAAAGGGAAACAACCCAGACCACCAGCUAAGGUCCCUAAUUAUAACUAAGUGGGAAAGGAGGUGGAGAUUCACAAACAACUAGGAGGUUGGCUUAGAAGCAGCCAUACCUUUAAAGAGUGCGUAAUAGCUCACUAGUCGAGAGUCUCUGCGCCGACAAUGUAACGGGGCUAAGUUAUAAACCGAAGCUGUGGAAUCCUUAUGGAUUGGUAGGAGAGCGUUCUGUAGGCCGUUGAAGAAGAAGGGUAACCAACUUUGGAGGUAUCAGAAGUGAGAAUGCAGGAAUAAGUAGCGAGAAAGGGGGCGAGAAUCCCCCUCGCCGGAAGACCAAGGUUUUCAGGGUAAAGCUUGUCUUCCCUGAGUAAGCCGGGACCUAAGCCCAGGCUAUAAUGCGUAGGCGAAUGGAAAACAGAUUAAUAUUUCUGUGCCAGUCAUUUAUUGUGAUGGAGGGACGCAGAAGGGUAUGCGCGCGGACGAUCGGUUGUGUCCGUAGAAGUAUGUAGGGUGACUUAGUAGGUAAAUCCAUUAAGUUAUAUCUGAGGUAUGAUAUACAGUCGUAAGAUGAAUGUGCAAAUCCCACGCUGCCAAGAAAAGCUUCUAACGUUAAUAUAUGACUGCCCGUACUGUAAACCGACACAGGUGGUCAGGAUGAGAAAUCUAAGGCGGACAGGCUAACUCUCGUUAAGGAACUCUGCAAAAUAACCUCGUAACUUCGGGAGAAGAGGAGCCCUUGGGUGUUAGUAUCCAUGCGAUACAAAGCGCUCGAGGGUCGCAGUGAAGAGGCUCAAGCAACUGUUUAACAAAAACACAGGUCUAUGCUAAGCUGGAAGGCGAUGUAUAUGGGCUGACACCUGCCCAGUGCUGGAAGGUUAAGAGGAGGAGUGAGAGCUCCGAAUUGAAGCCCCAGUGAACGGCGGCCGUAACUAUAACGGUCCUAAGGUAGCGAAAUUCCUUGUCGGGU
rnacentral:rRNA from 1 species